AGUAACACGUGGGUAACCUACCUAUAAGACUGGAAUAACUUCGGGAAACCGGAGCUAAUGCCGGAUAACAUAUAGAACCGCAUGGUUCUAUAGUGAAAGAUGGUUUUGCUAUCACUUAUAGAUGGACCCGCGCCGUAUUAGCUAGUUGGUAAGGUAAUGGCUUACCAAGGCGACGAUACGUAGCCGACCUGAGAGGGUGAUCGGCCACACUGGAACUGAGACACGGUCCAGACUCCUACGGGAGGCAGCAGUAGGGAAUCUUCCGCAAUGGGCGAAAGCCUGACGGAGCAACGCCGCGUGAGUGAUGAAGGUUUUCGGAUCGUAAAACUCUGUUAUUAGGGAAGAACAAAUGCGUAAGUAACUGUGCGCAUCUUGACGGUACCUAAUCAGAAAGCCACGGCUAACUACGUGCCAGCAGCCGCGGUAAUACGUAGGUGGCAAGCGUUAUCCGGAAUUAUUGGGCGUAAAGCGCGCGUAGGCGGUUUCUUAAGUCUGAUGUGAAAGCCCACGGCUCAACCGUGGAGGGUCAUUGGAAACUGGGAAACUUGAGUGCAGAAGAGGAAAGUGGAAUUCCAUGUGUAGCGGUGAAAUGCGCAGAGAUAUGGAGGAACACCAGUGG
rnacentral:rRNA from 1 species